UUUAAACACCACAGAAGAAGCUGAAAAGCAUCAACUGAAGUUCUUUGUUACCAUCCUCUAUCUAGUUUUCAAUCCAAAUACAUUUCCACGGGCUUUCCAGGAUGUUUCUAAUGUAAAGAUUGUGCUAAAUGAGACGUUUAUUUGUCACAACGUAAAUGGAGUUUUGAUAUUUAUAUAGGUGUGGUCUAUCUUUUCUUUAUCUGAACGCUAUGACAAAGAAAGUAACUGUAGCGUAACGUUACUUACUCUUACUGUCAUGUUUUUUAUUUGAAGAAAACGUUAAAGAAAGAAUACAGUUGCUUCCACGAUGGAUCGGGACAGAGCUAGUCCCUCCACUCUGCCGGAGUCCCCAGGUUGCAACUAUCCUGGUAGCGCCUUACUGCUGGGUCUGAAGAGGGUGUCUGUGUGACUGGUCGACUGCAGGAAAACACCAGGGCAGAGUGGAACUGUGAGAGAAGGACACGAGGAGGGAGAUGGAGUUUUGAUUUCAUCAAGGAACACCCCUAACCAUCGUUCUCUUAGUGGGAGGRGCUUAUCGUCUGGGGAGCCUCAAAAACAUGUUGCUGACAAGACAGAGAAGAAUGUCAACAGAUCAGAACAUCUCAAGAAACACCAGCAGAGACGUAUAGGGAAGAAACCUCACCACUGCUGCUCUGACUGUGGGAAGAG